CAUCCUUCUUGACCUUUUGGGGAAGAUCAAGUGUAGUAUCUGUUCUUAUCAAUUUACAACUCGCUAUCUGAUAUUUCCUCUAUAUGAAGACAACAUAGUUAAUGGAUUUUUGAAGAAGGGAAAGGGAACAGGAGGUUUCUCCAUCCACUCUAUGCAUCCACCUGGUACUGCAGUACUUUUAGGAACAGGGCAACAAAA
ensembl:snRNA U2 U2 spliceosomal RNA